AUGGGAUGUUUGCUCAAGAGGGAGUCAAUGCUUUCUAAAUAGAUACAUAAGAAUUUGACAGUGAAACUUAAACAUGGUGCCAACCUGAUGUGUCUAAAGUUACCAUAUAUUUACUUUAGCCGUGUUUCCACCGCAGGAAGUAGGGACUUUGGGGUGGUACUCUGUGUGUUUCGACCGCAGGAACCAGGGUCUAAAUUAAGUUCUGGGGUAAAAAUUUCCUCCUCAGAAAGUCCCUGCUCGCGAGGUAGUACUUUUUCAAAGUUCAGGAGCUUUUGGGGGUGGGACUUUGGCGCUGAACAAGCUGAUUGGUUAAGUUCAAGCAGCAUUUUGAAUGGUUGACUCUACGCAGCAUUUUAUUUUAACCACCAUUUUUAAAAGUCUGUUGCAGUGCGUGCAGUAAGAGUUGUUUGUUAUUCGAAUCAACAAUGGAGUUUAAAAAUUACGACCGAUGGACCGACGUCGAGGUUCAGGCUUUAUUAAACUUACAUGCGGAGAACAAAAUCCAGUGGGAACUGGAAAGUCGCAUGCAGUCCUACGUCACCAGACUCUUCUUCGUGUUACUUUAGACCGCGAUGGAAACGCAGACAGCAACAGGUCUGGGGCAAAAAAAAAGUUCCUGGGAUAAAUUGUUCCAGGUAAUUUUGGUGGAAACGCGGCUUUUGAGAGCUACAGUAAAUCUUCAGUGAAUAAAUUCUUAAAUUUUGCUGUUUCUUACAGAAAGCUAAUGUAUGACAUCAUUCAAGACAUCAUUAUUUUGGAGCUUGACAGCCCCAUGUCCCAUAUACUUUGUGUUUUAGAGAUGAUACAGAUCUCAAACAACGAGGACAGCCACAAGUCCCAUAUACUUUGUGGUUCAUGGACAGAAAAAAGAACAUGGAUUUGAAACAACAUGAGUACCUGGAAAAUACUACAAUCAAAUUCCACACUUUUCCAGACUUUUCCAAACUGUGUAGGAACCCUGACGUAUGACUUAAGAAUGACCAUUUUUAUGGGGAUUUUUUUGUCAUUUUGGAGUUUGACAGCCACAGUUCCCAUAUACUUUGUUUCAUGGACAAAAAAAAAAAAAAGUUGAACAUGGAUUUGAAACAAAAUGAGGAAAGCUAAAGAAUGUCUUCAGAAGGACCACUUUUAUGGUGUUUUUUUGCCAUUUUGGAUCUUGACAGCCCAUGUUCCCCUUUACUUUGUUUCAUGGGUGAAAGAAAGUUGGAUACGAAUUUGAAACAACAUGAUGAAUUCCCAAAUUUGAAUUAUUUUAAAACCCAGCACCAAAGGAGGAAGACCCCUAGAUUGUGAAAGAGAGACGAAUAAGGAAGGCUGACCAUCAUUU